GAGGAGGAGGAGGAGGAGGAGGAGGAGGAGGAGGAGGCGGCGGCGGCGGCGGCGGCGCGGCCGGAGCAGGGAGCCGGGCUGGCAGAGGCAGCAAGGCGCGAGCGGAGCGGCGGGAUGCGGCGGUGUCGGGGCGCAGGGCUGACGGGACUGGCCGCGGUGCUCCUGGUGGCUUCGGGAAGAGCCCAAGUGCAGCAGGAGCCGUCGGCAGAGACCUCCGAGGGCACCGAAAUCAGCAUCAACUGCUCGCAUGCCAACAUACAAUCAUACGAUUUCAUCUUCUGGUACCGUCUUCUCCCGGGCCGAGGUCCCGAACUCCUCGUGAGCAGCCAUAAAGGAACCAAAGCGCUGUCGGACCCGCCAGGACGGUUGUCGGUGGCGGCAGACCGCCGGUCCAGCGCCCUGUGGCUCGAACGGCCCCGGCGCGGGGACGCGGCGGUGUAUUACUGCGCCGUGGGAGACACGGAGAGAGAAGCCGGGGCUGUGGCCGGACACGAACCGCCGCGGGCGGGGCCGGGCGGGUGUGGCGGGGGCGGAGAUACAUUCCCAGCCGGGUCCACCAGGGGGCGCUGCCCCUCUGCCCGCCGGGGCCGCUUUUCCUUGUCUCUGCUUCUGCCACUGACCAUCCCUCUCCUGCACACUCCCCAAAUAAUUUUCACUGCAUCCCCUAAGAAUUCUGAUUCCCUGUAAUCAGAAACAUCCCUCAGUUUAUAUGACUGUAACGGGGGCACCUCAAAGACAGUUUUAGGUGGAUAAGUUCCAAAACAGACUUUAUUCUAGCUGGAAAAGUGUAGCAAAUAAAUGGACUAGGAACAGGGUUCAUACACUUAGUUAGUACUCCGACAACAUAAAAUACAGUUUUGGAUAUCAGUUGAGGAGAUUAUUGGGGUACAACAACAUAAGAAUAAUGAGGAUCCACAAUGCACAUGCACACACACUCAUAAGAAACAAAACAAGAGUUCUCUGCCUCCAGGGUAUCCACAAGAAAUAAUCACUCGCUUGGGUUAGACGAGGGUUUACACUUCCCUGGUUAGUCAAGGACUCACAUUUGCCUGGGUUAGGUAAGCGCUCAUUCAAGGAUAUAUCCAGUAAAUAUCCACUCACCCAAACGAGGAGGUGAGGUGCUCUCAAUCCCCGAUAACCUCCUUAGACGACGUACCAGGCUAAGGGGAAGGGUCCAGUUCACAGACCUGCUGCUCUGAGAAGAACACUCCAAAAGCACCUUCUGUGGGAAACAGGUCAAAUAUGAGUGUGGUCAUUACAAUGUAGACCAGAAGCUUCACAGCUACUCUGGGCACCUCCUUUGUUAAGGACCCAGUCAAUUGACCAAGGGUCCCACCCCUCCUGCCCCACCAGCUGGUAGAGGUGGAGUCACCCUGUCCCAGGCUAGGGGAGGAUGGGACUAUCAGCACAUUGGUACCACCCUAGAUGUGUAUGUGGGCCAGGGAAAGCGGGACACAAAAGGUGCUGAAGAGCCAUCAGCUGCCACUUUGAAGGCUCCAGAUCUCAGGGGGAUGUGCAACUCCCACAAUUACGAUCACCUCACCCUUAUGGGAGGUGUUAUCCCCACACAAGGGGAUGAUUGCAGUACCCUAAGGGUUAGUGAGAAGAUCAUGAUAAACAGGCUUGUGCUGGAUGUCUUCCUGCCAAAUAGAAGCCGUGUGUCUGACUCUGGGUAGGAGUGUUUGCAGCUGGUGCUGUUCCCAGACAUUUUGCCUUGAGGUGACUCAUCCAUGGCCUUGGAGGAGGGGGCAGUAAACCCCUGUGGGGAGAGGGACUCAUGCUGACUCCUGCUUCCAGGUACCUUGGUCUGUGCCUCAUUCUGCCUCCUACCAAGGGACAAGGAGGACAUAGGUGGUCUUUCUCCCCCUUAAUAUAUUGAAAGACCACACAGAGGUCUCUCUGCAGCCUUCUCUUCAGCUGUUCUUCAUCAGACAGCUGUUCCAGUACUUGAAUUGUUUUUUUGUGGCCAUCCCCUGGAGGGCCUACUCUAACAGGUCCAUGUCUUUUUUUAUUGGGAAGCCCAAAACUGGUCAAAGUCCUUCAGGUAGGGUGUCACGAGAACCAAGAACAGGGGAGAAUCACUUCCCUUCACCUGCUGGCUGCACUUCUUUUGAUGCAGCCAAGGAUACAAUUGGCUUUCUGGGCAGCAAGCACACAUUGCUGUCUCAUGUCCAAGUUGUCAACCACCAGUGUCACCGAGUCCUUCUCCAGAGGGCUGGUCUCAAUUCCUUCAUUGCCCAACCUGUAUUGAUACUGGGAAUUGCCCUGACCCAGGUGCAGGACCUUGCACUUUGCCUUGCUGAACCUUAAGAGCCCACUUAAGCUCUCUUUUCCUGAUUGUGUGAUCCCUUCCUGGAACAUCACCCCAGGCCCUUUGCUCAUCAGCUGUGUUCAUCAGUCCCUCACAGGGCUGCUGGAUACUCUCUCCCUCCCACAUCAUUCCUAGUAGAAAGUCCUCCUUAUCAGGUCAGCUAUCUUAAUCACAAAGGCAACUUUCCCUACUUGGUGAGGUGGAUCCCACCUCUCCUGAGCAGAUGCUGCUCUGCAAACAGGAUCCCAUGGCUGUGGGACCUUAAACCCUGUCAGCAGCUCCAGCCAAUUUUUGACCUGCAUUAUCAAUUCCCUUCUACUCACACCGCCAGGACUGAGGACAACACCACUUGGGCCCCCAUGCCCUUGACUACCUUUCUGCAGAGCUUUGUAAUUUCUUUUGGUAUUGUCCAGGUUUCCCCUAGUAGUAUCAUUCACAGUAUCACAGUAUGUUUGGGAUUGGAAGGGACCUCAAAAGAUCAUCUAGCCCAAUCCCCCUGCAGUAGGGGGUAACAGUCAGAGAGCCAAGUGAGGUUCGUCAGUUCCUCCACAUCAUCCCAGACAUGAGCCCCUGGGAGAUAGGAAACCUCUAUAGAUGAUAGGGCAGGUUGGUGUCUCUGUCCCCUGCAACACAAAAUCACCCAUAAGGAUCACUCACUGCUUCCUUCUGAUAGCCAUGCGUGGUUUAGGGUCAGGUGGACCAGGUGCUUUGCUUCAAGGCACAUCUGGCCCUUCUUUAAUGUUGAAGGCAGUGAACUUAUUCUGUAAUUGUAAGCCCUUGGGUGGGGCAGGAGCCCCACUUGGUCCCAGAAGUCCUCAGAUUGCUCUCUGUGAAUCUACUUUUGAAGGCUUUAGAAUCCACAAGUGGUGGUUGUUUUUAAGAACUGCCUUUAAAAAUCACUGGAGCAGGCAAUUCCAUUGUAUCCUAACUUAAGAAAGCAUGGCAGAAGACUAGCUUGGUUGAACAGGAAACUCCUUGUAGAACUCAAGAGAAAAAAGAAAUCGUGCAGUCUCUGUGUUUCACAGGAAGAUUACAGAGCUGUGGUUUACCUAUCCAGGGAGAAGACAGGAAAAGCCAGAGCUCAAUUAGAGUCGGAAUUGGCCGUGUUGUUUCAGGCAACAAGAAAGACCUUUUUAAGUACAAUAGUAACAAGACAAAGUUUAAAGGAAACAUUGGACCGAUCCUUGUUGAAGAUGGCCACUUGACUAAUAGGGGUGAAGUAAAAGUGGAGGCAUUAAAUGCUUUUUUGCCUUUGUCUUUAAUACUAUAUGUUGCCCAUGCUCGUCAAGUAAUGGGCCCACGUUAUUUUUUGUUUGCCUUUAACUUAUUUUUAUAAAUCCUUUUUACUGCCCCUCACAGUGCUGAAGAGCAGUUCCUGGUCCUGAAGAUCAUUGUCCCUGUGUUACCACCCGACCCAGCACUCACUCCCACAGAACCUGGCCUGGGGACAGGUGUCCCUAGUCCUCACCCCAGGCAGGAAUCACUCUGUCUUCUGCCUCAGUCCUGUGGCAUGUGGGGUCUGUGUGAGGGCAAACCCAGCACCACAGAGUCUGCAGUUGUGGGAAGGCCUUGUCCAGUCUGUGGGGAGCAGCCAUUCUGCACAGAGCACAAGGGCCGCUUCAGCCUCAGAGCCCUGGGAAUGCUGAAGGACUUGGGUUCCUGAGAGAAAGCACCUCAAGGUGUGCCCUGUGGUUGUGCUGGUGUGUGCCCUGUGCAUUCAGGGACAGCUCACAGAUCCUGCUGAGUGUGGAAUCAAAUCCCUCUGUCACUGCUGUGUCCUAAUGGAGCUGGGAGAUUCUACUCUCACACAGAAACUUUCUGGGCCAGAGCUGGGUUGUGACACUUGUGGGACUGCAGAGUUCCUGGGCCUCAGAAAAGUUGUGCUUGAGGAAGCGCUGUGGUUUAACCCCAGCCAGUAACUAAGCACCACACAGCCACCUGCUCACUCUUCCCGCAGUGGGAUGGGGGGAGAAUCAGAAGACAAGGCAGCACAAAGUAGUUUUGCAAGUUCAGGCACCAGUCACUGUCCUAGGGCUGCCUUCACCCACAGAGAUCAUGGGUUCACAGGGACAGAGGACUCCCAUGUGUGGCCCGCUGCAGCUGGUACCAGAACUGACUUGUCAACACCUCAGCCCUACAUAAGUUGGUGUAGACAUUACCACUUAAAAGAAUGUAUCAGUCAGCAAUUGCUAACCUUUAGAUAUGUAAACCCCCUCAGAUUAAGGUCAGUCUAUUCCUCUAACAAGGGAAAGAGUGACUUAAAAAACACCUAAUCAGAAACUACAGUGACCUUGCAGCUUUAGACGUUCUGGAGCUUGCACAAUUAACUGAGUCUUCUUUCAAUGUAUAUCUUGAGACUGUUAGAUAAAGUGUCCUUUACCUGAAUAUUGCUCAUUGUAUACUAAAAUGGUUAUGUAACAAAUAUGGAAAUGUGUAACUAGUUGGCUCUUAAGAACUACCCUGAAAGUGUGAAUACAUUGGUAAGGUUUUGAAUGCAAUAACUGUUAUUUUUCCUUCUGUCA